GUGAGAGGAUAGGGAUUUAAAGAAGACAUGAGAGGCAAAUUUUUUUUACACAGCGAGUGGUUCGUGUGUGGAAUGAACUUCCUAAGGAAAUGGUAGGUGUGGGUACAAUAACAACGGUUAGAAGACAUUUGGAUAGUUAUGUGAAUAGGAAACAUUUGGAGGGAUAUGGCCAGGAGCAGGCAAGUGGGACUAGUUUAGUUUGGGAUUAUGUUUAGUGUGGAAUAGUUGGACCAAGUUUCACUGCUGUAUGACUAUGACCUCUGUGGUAAAAAGGUGAUCUCCAGUUUGCGAACAAUGCCCCCAGUUCUGGGCUCGUUCACAAGAGGAAAUGUCCUUUCUGUAUUCACCUUGUUACUACUGUUCAGGAACUUAAAUACUUAAUCAACUCACUCAUCUUCUAAAAUCUAGCAGAAAUCUAGUCUGUCCAACCUUUCCUCAUAAGACAAGUUGUUCGUUCAAAAUAUCAAUCUAGUAAACCCUUGAUGCACCUGAAGGUGCAUUUACAUACUUCCUUCUUAAAAUAAACUAACUGAGACUUUUUGUAAAGUAGUCAACCAAUCUGCAUUUUCUGUUGUACUGUUUUUGGGAAUAGGGAAGCAGUGGAAAACUGGAUUAUUAUGACUGGAUUUGAUUCUUAAGUGGGGCAUAUUGUAAAUCAUGUGUACUUGUAUUUUAAACAAUAUUAUUGUCUUGUCAAUUUAUUAUCUUGGAUAAAUUGCUAUUUCAAAAGGAGCAAAGUACAGUGUCGUGGGGUGAAGGGAGAAGAAUGGCAUUCAGAGAGUUGGUGCAGAUAUGAUGGGCAUCUUUCUGUAUUAUAAUAGUUCAUUCUUUGAGAUAACAAGAAGAAAAGUUGAAUCUACAAGAGAACUGAAUUGCUGUAAGAAGCGCAGAUGUGUAGGGUUACAGAUGUAUACGGUUAAUAUUGAGCUAGCAAGAUGCAGGCAUUCUCCUGCAUGGAGAAUGAUAUUCACAUUUUGAAUACCCUUCCCUUCUCAUAAGGUGUGUGAUUCAUUUUGUCCGUUCCUGUGACAAAGGAGCUAAUCAACCUGUUCUCGCAUCCUUGGAUGGCUUGAACUAGGUGUAGACAGCAGAGAGCAGAUCUCUGUAGUACAAUUCUCUUUUAAUUAUGCAAUUAAGUAAAAACUGUAUGCACAUUACCGAUUUAUUUACAUUUUAGGAAAAUAUGGCAUCAUCUGUAUUGAAGAUCUGAUCCAUGAGAUCUACACAGUAGGAAAGACCUUCAAAAUGGCCAACAAUUUCUUAUGGCCCUUCAAGCUAUCUUCACCACGUGGUGGCAUGAACAAAAAGACAACACACUUUGUUGAGGGUGGUGAUGCUGGUAACAGAGAAGACCAAAUCAACAGGAUGAUCAGAAAAAUGAACUAAAGGUAAACCACAGCUGUGAAAUUGCCAUCGUGUUCUGUUAAAUAAAGAAAUUAUUUACACAGUAA